rnacentral:lncRNA from 1 species
GACUCGUCGUCAGCCGGGGCCGCAGCGCGGCCGGUGGGGACUGCGGGGCGGGCCGGAGUCCGUCCGAGGGCUCCCGCACCUCGGGCUGCGGGAACAUUAAAAUCUCCCCAGAUGCUCACUGCUCUGAUCAUUUCCCCUACAGCACCAGACAUGUUGGCAUCAUCUCUUAGUUGGGCCAUGUGGCCAGGGAACCCUUCAUGAAACCACCUCUGCAGUCCUGGAGAGUUGCUGUAGAAGAAGGAAAAGAGAGGAAGACAACACAACACAGGAGGGGAUAAGUACCUCUGGACACAAUGGAAGUAGUAGUUGUUGAGCAGAGGGAAAGGGAUAGGAGAAGGAUGUGGACUGCAGUGCUGCAGUGCCAGACCAUUUUUUGUAAGGAAUCAUUUUAUCAACUAGGAUGACAAGAGGCCUCUCCCAUCCUGGUUGCACAUCACUUUCUAUAACAGAGAGACAUGGGCCAGAAGCCCUGAUGGAGAAAGCAGCCAAUGUCCCUUACAUUUCCACCUUUGGCUUGAAAAAAAGAUCUGUGCACUAAAUACAGGGAAAAAAAAAUGAAGUUAGGCUGGAAGAAGAAAGACAUUGUUACAUGGUAAAAUUGGAAAGAUUCAUACCAACAGUACGGGAUAAAGCAGGGGUCCCCAGCCCCUGGGCCACGGAACUGGACUGGUCCAGGGCCUGUUAGGAACUGGACUGCCCAGCAGGAGGUGAGUGGUAGGAAAUGAGCAUCACAGCCUGAGCUCCGCCUCCUGUCAGAUCAGUGGUGGCAUUACAUUCUCAUAGGAGUGCCAACCCUAUUGUGAACUGCACAUGUGAGGGAUCUAGGUUGCCCGCUCCUUAAGAGAAUGUAACUAAUGCUUGAUGAUCUGAGGUGGAAUAGUUUCAUCCUGAAACCAUACCCCCACUAAGCCCCCGCAUCCAUGAAAAAAUUGUUUUCCAUGAAACUGGUCCCUGCUGCCAAAAAGGCUGGGGACCGGUGGUAUAAAGUACGUCUGAGAAUGUAUACUUACUGAGAAUGUACCUUUAUACCCUGUAAGAUACCAUAGUGUUUUAUCAUUUUAUAAAAGCUGAGGCUCAGAGAGGGUUCUAAGAGUACUCAAGGUCACAAAGUUAAUCAACUGUCUAGGGAAGCUAGAAUUUCAAGUGAACCCUAUCUCUAAUUUGGCUCAAGAAAGAAUUUAAAUUUAAAUGACCAGAUGUAAUUUUCAAAUUUGUAUACAUGUUACAUGAGUACAUUCUCCUUUUAAAAUAUUGCCAAUAAGGUUGAAAUCAUCUUUGAUACCCAAGUUCUAGUCCCAUCCCCUCCUCUUUUCUCCAGUGGUGACUCACACUAUCGUUUCCAGAUAUCCCUCCCUGUCACACACGCGUGCACAUAUACUGUGUUAAAUACAGAGAUGGGUGGUCGCUUACCUGUGUGUUUGAUACAUAAUAGUAUUUGGUCAAAGUAACUUUUAUACUGGUAAAACCUCUUCAUUGGAACAAUAAUGCCUCAUCAAAAUCUGAACUCAUACCACUAAGUAUUAUUAUAAUAAUUUGGUAUUCUAUAGCAGUAACAGUUAUUUCCAAAGACAUUCCAAUAUGCCUGUAGUAAAUAUUCUAGAUUUAAUUAAAAUAUUGGCAGGACUACCGUUUUCCAGAUUAAAUUAAAAAGCAAUUAUUAGCAUUGCAGAUUAAGUUUUUAAAUGAAUAUUUCAAUUCAGCGACACUGGCUAGAAUAUCUUCUGUUUUGUCACAGUGUCACAGAUCCCAUCACCAUCACUGUAAACUAAAAUUAGCUAACUUUUAAACAUAAGACCCACAAUUAUUUAUUAUAGCCCAAAA